rnacentral:misc_RNA from 1 species
UUUAUUGGUUGUAUGCUGGGUUUUAUCAGCUGUUGCCGCCGUUGGACAAAUACCGGUUGCAUACUAGAAAGGAGGAAGAAGAGAAGAACUUGGUGCCACUUCCAAAGGUGGUCAAGGGUGUUUUGCUUCAACAGCUAGUUCAGGCGAUAGUUGCUCAUGCUCUCUUUUGGUUGACCUCAACAGCUGAUGCAUCUGGGAUCACAAUCCAACCUUCCAUUACCAUCCAAAUUGUGCAGAUCAUAAUUGCUAUGUUUGUCAUGGACACAUGGCAAUAUUUUGUGCACCGCUAUAUGCAUCAGAACAAAUUCCUCUACCGCCAUAUCCACUCUCAACAUCAUAGGCUAGUUGU